rnacentral:rRNA from 1 species
UGGGGGAUAUUGCACAAUGGGGGGAACCCGUGAUGAAGCGACGCCGCGUGGGUGAAGAAGCGCCUCGGCGCGUAAAGCCCUGUCAGCAGGGAAGAAAAUGACGGUACCUGAAGAAGAAGCCCCGGCUAACUACGUGCC